rnacentral:rRNA from 1 species
UACGGGGGAAGCAAGCGUUGUUCGGAUUUACUGGGCGUAAAGGGCGCGUAGGCGGCCACCGCAAGUCGACUGUGAAAUCUCCGGGCUUAACCCGGAACGGUCAGCCGAUACUGCGGGGCUAGAGUGCAGAAGGGGCAACUGGAAUUCUCGGUGUAGCGGUGAAAUGCGUAGAUAUCUGGAGGAACACCGGUGGCGAAGGCGGCGUCCUGGACCAAUACUGACACUGAAACGCGAAAGCCAGGGGAGCAAACGGG